UUAGCUUACCUCCAAGGACUGUGUUUAACAGUGUACAAACCUUUUUUAUUGAUGAGGGCAUUUGCACACAUCUCCAUUCAACUUAGUGUCACCAUCCCCUGUUGCAUUCAAGGACAAAUGCUUUUAAACUUUGAGCGUGAUAGAAAAGCUUUCUCCAGUCUACCAGCUCUGCUUUUGCAGAGUGCUCUUUUCUACUUAUGUACAUGAGGUUAAAUAAUGAAGUUUUAAAUAAAUUAGUAUCAUGAAUUGAUUGUGUUAAGAAUGAGAGUUACCUUGGCAGUGCAAGGGAUUUCCCACAUGGUUUCAUUUUUUCAAAGUCCAUGUGUAAGUUAAUUCUUAUAACUGGAAUAAUCAAAUCAAUCCCUAACAGAAUACUAAUCACAAGCCUUGACACAAGACCUUAUUCACAAGAUGUUAUUCAGUGGAUUGCAGUUUCCAGGCUGAGUAACUUUGGUGAUCAGAUCUGCAUAAUCAAUUCCAGUCUGCAGCAAUCCUAAUUGUACGGAAACGGAAAGACUUCUUUCAUUCCAUCAGGACUCAUUACACAGCGGCCCCAGGCUGCCCCUCCUCUACAGAGUGUCUCAGCUUUUCAGUGUCUUCUGUACAGGCUCCGAGUGGGUUUAUGUUCUUGGCCCUGUUGUCUCACUCAAUUUUCCUAUUUAGUGAUGGCACAGACUCUAAUAGCCAAACAGUUCUGGAGGACAAUUUUUGUAUUUUUGGUGGGAUGCUCUGACAAGCUGAGUUUCUCAGGAGUGACAAUCUUCCUGUAGGCUGGUAUUAUGCAGUCAGUAAUGUUUUUUUAAAUUUUGACUCCCUUGCUUCGUGUUUCAAAGAAAAGACAGAACCCUGGAGGACUCUGGCCUUACAGUGAAAGUGUCAGUUGUUGGUAUAUGGAAUUAGACAAACAAUAAAACAGUUUGUACAUACUAAUUGGAAGGAAGCUUAUUGUAUUGCUUGUUUACAAAGUCGUUUGUUCUAGUUUCUGUUCCUCUGAAUGUAGAAUGAUCUUUAGCACACGUCUCUAGGUCUCUGCUGCCCACUUCCAAUCGACCUGACUGAUAGUUUUCAUCAUUUUUUUUUCUAAUAGAUUGUUUUGGAGCUUACUCAGAAUUCUGCUUCGGGAGCACACCUGCAUGCCUGAAUUUUCGCUCCCUGUAUUCAACUCAGUCUUCAUCUUUACACUGCCUGGAUAACAUGUAUUUAGAUGGAACUGUUAGAUAAAUCCCAGUGCAGGAACUAUCUAAAAAUAGCAUUUCUUCAUGCAUUGCUUUUCCUCUGUAGAGAUGGGGGAGGGAGUAGGUCCUUUCUCCUUUUCAGAUUGGGUAGCACUACUGAUCUGACUUCAGUAAAAUAGACUAUUAUGUCUCGGACACCCAUUUGUUUUUCUCAGAGAUUGCAUCUGGGAGAGCUGGCAUCUUUAAAUGCUCUGAAUUUUGGAUCCAGAGCAGGGGCUUGUUAUAAUGAGCAUAAUGUUGUGAGCACUUUGAUUUGAAUUGCCUUUUCUCCUGUUUUGCAUCACAUGUGAAGUUCUUUACUUAGAAAGCGUUUUGCAUUGGAAGAGAAACUUGAGCCCAUGAGAGAAAUAUAAAACAAAGAGGCUAUUUUUGGAAAGUGUAGAGGUGCUUUCUUAUGCUAUACGUGGUUUGAAACAUCAUGAGGUAGCUCCUUUCUAUUGCUGUCUUCAUGCUUCCUGUGAACUGCUUUUGGAUCAGAUGAAACAUUUUCCUCAUCUUGAACAGACAAUUUACAGACUAACUGCAGUAUUGACAGACCAUGUUGUGAGAAAGACACUGAAAGGAGGAGGAUUUGGAAUACAAGCUAAUGACUGCAUCUCAAGAUUUAUCAGCUUAUAUCAGCAUACUAUAUAUGUCGGAAGAAAAGCAGCUGUCUGCAAAUUCCUAGGUUGUUUCCAUUUUCUUGUUCAAACUGGCUUGUGAACUUUGGCUUUAUUUGUAGUGUUCAUAGAAGAAUGUGAAUGUUGCAGUUACUACAAGGAUCCAGUGGCAUUGUAUUAAAUCAGUAACUGCUUUGGUGAUUUGCCAACAUGCUUUUUACCCAUGCCUUUCCAGAUGCUUUACAAAGAACAUGUUAUUUCUACUUUAUAGAUGAUGGAACUAAAGAGCGGAGAGGUUGAGGGACUUGUCUGAAAUCUCAGGGUGAGUGAGAGACAGAGACUGAAGGAGACUCUAAGUUUCAUUAUUUCUUGUUUACCCCUUUAUUCACUGUACCAUAGUCUUGCUCUCAUUCCUAAUCCCUUUGUAAAUAACUCAUGAGGAGGCUGUUUUGCUGGCUUGGACAGCUGUCUAGCAUGCGUUAUUUGAGUGAAACUGCAUUUUCCAUACUCAGGUGGUCAAUAAUGUAACAUGUCUUACUGGGUGGGCAUUUAAAAUUUCUAUAACCCAUGAAAGUGAGAAGAGAGCCAAGGAAACAACUGAAUCCUUACACUGAGACAGUGAAAAUUCUAAUUCUUAACAGUUCUUCCUCAAAUCUUCUUUUAAUUUAACUUUUAUUGAAAUAUUUCAGCAGGAGAGAUUAAAAACUGAUGGGGCAAAUAAUUAAUGGAAAAAAAAAAGUAUUCAUCCUCAUAGAAAGGAACAGCAUUAGAGGAAUUUUAUACCUAGCUCCUGCGUACAGCCUCUCUCUUGUGAAAAUGCAUCCUAUACACAUUUAUUUGACUCGCUGAAAGCUGCUGUUCUUGUUUCAGCCUCAUUCUCUGGACAGCCAGUAGUUUAAGAAUCUUUUAAAGGAGUUAACCCAAUAUGCUUGACUAAGACAUGAAUGGUAAAUCUCUGUUUAGUCGUUCUGAUAUUACUUUGAUUUGCUGGGAAUAUCCUUGCUUGUAAAUUGAAAAGGAUACAGAGACUUACCUGUAAAACUAAUAAAUGGUCCCUCGCAGCAUUUGGUCCUGGCUAAACAUCACUGGUCAGACUAGCUCCAGGGCAGAGCUCUCACUCUGUACUUUCAAUGCUGGUACACAUUUGGAAACUGCAAGUUUAAUAAUAUUGACCUUGGCAGUCUGGGCUUUUGGUCCUCUGGUCUAGGGACUGGGUCCUGGCACCGCUCGGUUUGCUAGUAUCGAUAUUGUCAUAUAUUGCAUUAUCCUCAGAACAACCAGAGCUCAGCAAGGGUGCAAACAAUGGAGCUAGCUUGGAAAGAGCCUGUGGGAAAUCAUACAGAAAGCCACCAUCUUUGAGGAAUUUGAGUUUUGGUUAUGUAAUGAAUUACAGAUAAUGUCUAAACAAAACAAACAAAAACCAGUGAGUUUUGGACACUAACCUCUGGUUGCUCCAAACAGAGUCAAGUAGUUAACCCAAGCUUUGAAGGAAGUGAAAGACAAAACCCCAUUAUGAAGGACAAGUUUAUGUGAUAACUCGCAGCUCUUGGUGUGAAAUAUGUUGUCAGUGUAAUCUGUUUCCGUAUUGUCUUUCACAAGAAGUGCAGCACGCCAAACACUUGGAGCUGAUUUUACUGAUAAUGCAUGUAGUGGCAUCAACAGAAGGUUGAGAAAGGCAGUGCCUUCAGGCUCAGCAUCACAAAAUAUUACAAUACUGCUGCCUUUGCAGUGUUCACAGUAAACCAGGAAAUAAAUACAUUUACAAUUACAUGAGAAGCAGAAAAUAAAUUUGAAAAUAAAGGGAUUGUUUAUGAUGAAGAAAGAUUCAGAAUGUUGCUUUAAAGGUAGGAGCCGAAGGGGACCAGCUUUUGAGCCUAGUUGUGAAAUGGUUAACAGGCUGGAGAAUAAUAUUAGAAAGUUGUCCCUAGAGGAGCUGUUCAGAUAAUAAUGAAAAUUCAUGGACAUUUUUGAAAUUCAGGUGUCUUUUCAAUUUGUGUUCAGAAUUUCUCAAUAAUAAAGAGAAGCAUACUUACAUAAAUUAUACUAAAACCAUGUAGUUUGCAGUUAGGUAGCAAAUGCUGUAUAUUAGCAUUCUUGGGAGUAUAAAGAUUUGGGACAUAAAGGUCCAUUUACUUUUUUAUUGUCCUUUUUUUCUUAAUUUCCUUCAAGCCUGGAAGAAUCAGGAACCCUGGAAUUUACAUUGAAAACACCUCCAAACAACAUAAUUACUAACAAAGUAUUUCUCCUAUAUUGGGCCAAAUGGUGUGAAUCAACAUAACACCACUGAAGUCAGCUUUAUGUACAAGUUGCUGAUAACAAAUUAGUGGUUAAUAAGAACAGAGAUUUCAGAAGGGACAUUAAACCUUAACCUCCUUGAUUAGAGACUUUCAGAGUAGAAAUUUGGUCCAAAGAGCUCCCCAGAAUGUUUGCUCUGCAUAUCUCAUUCCACUAAAUGACUCUCUUCUCAAAUUAGAAACUUGGCGUUCAGAACAAAAUAGUGUUUCAGAGAGAUGUCAAAGGGAGAAAUCAAGGCCGUACUGAGCAUUGCAGUAUGCUUUGAUGUCAAGAGAUUUGGAAGGCGACAUUUCCAGCUGUUCACAGAAAGCUAAGUUGGGUCUCCCUUUUUCCAGAAGGAAUAUAUUUUCCUCACCUUUCCAAAGAAAGAUUAACUUUUCUGGUGACCAAGGCUGGGACCUUUGUAACUCCUUCCCUUCCCCUUACUCUCUAAAGAACCUUCUCCCCCAAAGGAGAAAAACAUACCAGUUCUUGAAAGUUACUGAUGACACCUGAACUUUU